CUGUUAUGUGACUACUAUAAAAAUAAUGAUUGUAUCCAACCCGCAAACAGUUUGAGGUCGUUAAUUUAUUGCUAACUGUGCUCUUUGAACCUCCCACCUUAACGACACUUUUUCAUUUAAUCAGCUGCGUUUCCAGCUUUAAAUGUUCAAGUCCACGCCGAAAUCUAAUAUGAUCAACCUGAGAGUUUUCAAUGCAUAAUAUAUGAUACUUUACCCAUUAUAGUUUUUUUUUCAAUUAAAUAAACUUAGAACGUUUUGUAAUGAUAUUAUGUCAUUAUAUUAAUAUUGAGUAAACAUCACUUUUAUUGUUGUUAUCAGAAGCGCUUAUCAUUCAUUACUGGUGUGUAAUUAACUCAUUUUUUAAAGAAAAAAUGUAGGAGGGUUAGUAUUUAUGUGAUUCUGAGAUAAAUUUCCGGACCAUAAGUAUGAAGAUCUUGACCUAAAAAAUAUAAACGCUAAUAAAAGAGCCAUGAUAUUCCGAAAACAUUUAAAAUGCAAAAGUGAAAAAAAAUCUUAUUAAAACUAAAUCUUUGUAUAAAAUAAUUGUGAACUUUGAAACAGAUAACAAAGAACGAUUGCAUGAAUAUUUUCAAAAUAUUCUUUUAUUUUUAUUGACUUUAUAUGAUGAUUACUUAUCAAUCAAAGAAAAAAAUCAGUCUACGUACUAGUCCUUUUGCAACUAGAGAGCUUAUUUCUAAAUUUACUAAUCCUCUGUCAAAUAACGGCGUUAAGUCAAAAAAAGUUAAAUGUAAUAAUAAUUAUUUUAUUUUAGUUCUAAAUUUGUGGCACACUAGGUUACUAACUAAUUCAAAAUAUUAUUUUGAAAUAAAUAUAAACUUUUAAAUAAAAUUAUC